AGAAUCAGGAAUUGAAAUAUAAUUAUUUUCUUAUGCAAGACUUUGAUCUCACUGAAAUAACCUUUUUAGUUAGAUAUUAUAUGUAUAACAUGAUCCGUUAAAAAUAAAGUGAUAAAAGAGUUGGAUUGAAUACGCCCUAUCUUCCUCUUGACAUGGGUAACGUUCAACCUAAAAUAAUAUAUUUUUCUCUUCUUUUUAAUCAAUAUUUGUAGUGUCGACAUGUUGUGCUAAGUGGGAACCACAAUGAUAUAACCAACUAUAGGAAACUGCAAUAGUCCUCCAUGGAUAUAGAUCAAUCAUCCCUGAACUUUCACCCCAAAACCCUCUAAAUUUGGAUGUAAAUACCCCUGUAAAUUAUUCUUCUAUUCCUAUCUUUGCUCAAAAGUUACUCCAACAUCGAUGACCUUUUCCCAAAUAUGGUUGAUGCUCCGAUGGCAGACACAGAACAUCAAGACGAAGUUACCCCCACAAUUUCUAAGGAAAACUUCUUCCCUUUAUCAACAGCAACAGACAAAGCAAGGCUAUAUUUGCCCUGGUAGACCUCUUUAAUUGGUAAGUUAGUGGGUAAAAAAUUGGGCUACCAAGUCCUCAGGAAGAAACCUUCUGAGGAAUUAAAUCUGAUAGACUUGGGCUACGAUUUCUUUUUGAUGAAAUUUAACCAAGAGUAAAAUAUGCUCCAUGCUCUACAUGAUGGACCAUGGUUCAUCUACAACAGCUUUCUCUCCGUUUAAAAAUGGGAACCCAAAUUUGUGGCAUUCAAAGCUCAACUUGCUCACACCGCUAUUUGGGUUCGUCUGCCGGAAUUACCUACAAAAUUUUACGACAUGGAAAUUCUUCACAAGGUUGGUGCUAAAAUUGGAAUCCUUUUAAAGAUAGACACUUAUACCUCCACGACUUCUAGGGGAAGAUAUGCUCGUUUGUGUAUUCAGGUUCCUUUAGAACGGCCCCUUCUUCAUCACUUGUACAUAGGAACUCAUAAACAAGUGAUUCGGUACUAAGUUGCCUCUUACUGUGCACUUUUUGUGGGUGACUUGGGUAUAUCACCCAUUGCCCAUAUAAAACGGUGAAUGAAAUUCCCAACGAAAAAGAUGUUGAUGAAGCACCAAAUUCCACUGUAAUGGGGAAUGAGCAACAUAAAAAUGAAGAAGAUGAUGAAGGUUGGCAGCUGAUUUGUUUCCCUAGGCAGCAACCUCAUCGUUCAGCAGAGAACGGAAGAGUUGACUUUCAACGUUCUGUUAAAAGACCUAGUGGGCCAUUGUGGGUCAGUGGGUUGUCAAUAAAAAGUGUUUCCUAGGUAAAGGGGCUCAAUCUUUCCCUUCCUAUGGGCCCAGGUAAGUCCUCUUUUCCCAUUGAUUUAGAAAUCCCUUGUAAUAACCCUUAUGCCCCCAAAUUCUCUACUAAUGAUUCCAACACAAUUUCUUUAAAUGAUGAUCUUUCUAAAGUGGGGUCCACGGAGCUCAAUUCAUCUAUUUCAAAUCUGUCCCAUUUAAAGGAUUUAAAAAUGCAUGAAUCACCUCUUUUCUUAACUAAUACCAUGACCCCACUUAAUUCUCAACUGAAGGCUGAUAGGCCACAGAUGGACUUCAUGCAUGAGCACAAAAAUUCACUGCACGUAAACUCAGCGGUUAACAAUUUUGAUGUUCACCCUUAUAAUGAUUACACACCACAUGGUGAUAAUGAUCUGUUAAAUUCUCAAAACUCACCUUCUCUUGUUCACUUUGCCAAAAGCCAUAUUUUUGAACAUACUCCUUUCUCUGUUAUAAAUCAUGGAUCAUUCUCUAACUUGUCCAUUCAAGGGUCUACAUAUCCAUCACAGCCUACCAUACCCAGUUCAUCAACUACACCAGAAAUAUAUUCCGAUGGCACAAGAGAACAAUCAUUUUCCUUACCAAAUUUACACAUCAAUGAAUCCUAGUCAUGGCUGGAGUGGCACUCUCGGGAUAUGCACUCACCUUCACCAUGACAGUGAAUGGUCAAGAAUGUUUUAUACUGAUUCAAAACCCUCGGGACCUGGCGCAAAUCAUAAUGGAGGGGAUGAUGAGAGGAAUGGAGGUUUUCAAUAAUCCACUAGCGACAAGCCAAUCCCUCUCGACAAUUUCAUUUUACCCGCCACCACAAGAGGAGGAAUCAGCCCCGUGGAUUCAACCCCAUGUGAUGGUAGUAGCAAUGAAGUCUAAGUCAUAAGUUCAUCCUAUUCUACUGAGCUCUCUUCCACCUCCGACAACAUCAAAUACGAAAGAAGAGGUGGGGGAAACAUCUACCUUCUUGGGCCAGGUACAGGUAUUCCUCCUCACAGAACUAUUUGAAAAAGAAAUAAACGUAAACUUUCCUCAAAAUAUGUUCAAGUGUUCCAUUCAUGUGAGGCCAACCCUCAACCCCGGUGUGGGGAAGUAUGCCCUAAUUAUGAGUCCCUUUCUGAGGAACAAUGACUUUCUAGACUUCUUCCCCCGAAAGCCUCUAACUUUUAGUCGCCCCGAUGAAUUUUCUAAUUUGGAACUGUAGGGGAUCUUCUUCCCUAAACUUCACUUUAAGGAACUUCUUGACUUGCACAAGACUUUACUUGUAGUCCUCUUAGAAACCCAUAGGAUGAACCAUCAGUCUAUGCCCAAUGGGUUUUACUUCUCAAAUAUUGUUGAUACCAGACUUCAGGACAAGCAAGGGGAAUAGCUAUCCUUUGUCAAGAAGACCUUUUGAAUGUUACGAAUAUCGCUAUGAUUCAUCAAGAAAUUCACUAUAUCAUUCAGGUAUUCCCCCCCCAAAUAAAUGGUUUUUAUCUGCUAUUUAUGCUUAUAAUAAUUUGGAUGACAGAAUGAGUCUUUGGGAGAAUCUUAAGUGGGUUCCCGACUCCUUUAAGGGGCCUUGGCUAAUGGGUGGAGAUUUUAAUGAAAUAUGAAAUUCCAUCAAAAAAAAUUAGGGGAUUACCGAUAGAAAGUUCAAGAGCUGAAAAAUUUUCUCAGUACUUAGAUUACUGUCAUAUGGUUGACUUAGGAUUUUCUGGCAGUAAAUACACUUGGUCAAAUUUUCAUAAAAAUAAUACUCUUAUUUUGGAAUGCCUUGAUAGAUGUGUAGCCAAUACUGAUUGGCUCCAUCUAUUCCCUGAAUCACUUGUUAGGCACUUUCCUCGCACUCAUUCUGAUCACUGUCUCUUACUUCUACAACUAACUACUCCUGUUGUUCUAUCACAUAAGCCUUCAGAAUAGAAACCAUCUGGACAAACCAUCCUCAAUUUCCUUCAGUUAUUAAAAAUUCUUGGCUGAGAAUGAAUAAUGUUCUACUACCGUCCAUAGCCUAUUUUCAGAGUCAAGUAACCGUUUGGAACAAAGAGGCUUUUGGAAAUAUAUUUGGUAAAAAAGACGUAUGCUCACGUGAUUAGGCGGAAUCCAAAAAUACCCUCAUUACCCAACUAGUAGUUUCCUUCAAAAACUAGAAAUUUCUCUCAAUCAAAAUUGGGUUGCUUUAUGCAGAACAUGAAUUUUGGAAACUAAAAUCCCGCAUCCACUGGCUCAAUAAGGGUGACGCGAAUACUAAAUUCUAUCAUAUGUCCAUGGUUCAUAGAAGGCGCAAAAAUAAAAUCUUCACCCUUCGAGACAUAGUAGGAAAUUAGAUUAUGGAUAGGCAUGAUGUGGAGAAUCAUAUCACCUUUUUCUUCUCAAAUUUGUACUCAACAAACCUUAGUUGCUCUAAUAAGCACUUUUAUCAAGCUUCCAACCACUUUAUCUCUGUGGAGGAUGUGGAUCAUCAGGAAGGUCCUAUAUCCUAUAAGCAAAUUGUUGACUCGGUCUUCUCUUUUAAGCCCUACAAGUCCCUAGGUCCGUAUGGCUUCCAUCCUUUCUUUUUCCAAAAAUAUUAGGGGCUUGUGCAAGAUAUCCUGCACCAUCACUAGAAUACCAAAUAUAAGAAAGAAUACAUGUUGGCAAAAAUUAACCUCAAAAAAUCUUUUGACCAAUUAGAAUGGUCUUUUAUUCAUAACACCCUCCUUUACUUCAGAUUCUCUCAAAAGCUGGUAAAACUUAUCAUGUCCUGCAUUUCCACUACCUCUGUUUCACUCCUUAUCAAUGGCUCGGCAAUCCCUUAUUUCAUGACUACUAGAGGCAUCUACCAAGGGGAUCCUCUCUCCCUGUACUUAUUUAUUUUGUGUAUGGAGAGACUCUCUUGGAGAAUGAAAAUAUAUGGGUCUCUUUUAAUUUCCUCAAAAUGUGAAGAUUGUUAUGAAUAAUUGGGGAUUUUGUUGUCUUGAACUGUGUUUCUAUGUUUCCCGUCUUUCUUGAUUUUAUUUUAGAACUUUGCUUCAGAUAUAUGCUUUUUGAUUGAAUAGUUGAGGGUUUAUGCAAUUUCAACAACAACAACAAACCCAGUGUAUUUCUACAAAGAGAGGUUUGGGGAGGGUAGAAUGUACGCAGUCUAUACUGCACCUUCGAAGAAGUAGAGAGGCUGUUUCUGAUAGACCUCGGCUCAAAAUAAUAAAUAGUGAACAAUAUCAUAUCAAAGAUAAAUGAAUUUAAAUAAAAUUUUCAAAGAUAAAGUUCUGCUAAAGCUGAUAAACUACAUUUAGUUUAGUAUAAUAGGUUAAUAUUGUGAACGGAUAAUAGGCAAGGAACCUCGGUUGAGGACAUGUUUUAAAAUUCAGAAAACUAUGUAAUUUGGUUGCUAAAAUGAGGAUGCUUAGAUGGAUAUACGGGCAUACUAGGAGGGAUUGGAUAAAAAGCGAAGAUACAAGGCAAGGUGGGAGUGGCCUAGUGGUGGAUAAGAUAUGGGAAGUGAGACUAAGAUGGUUUGGGCAUAUAAAGAGGAGAAGGACACAUGCCCUAGUGAUGAAGUGUGAAAGGUUGGCAAUGAUUGGUCUUAUGUGAGGUAGAGGUAGACCGAGGAAGAAUUAGGGAGAGGUGAUUAGACAUGGCAUGACACAUCUUGAGCUCAUCAAUGACAUGACCUUAUUACUAUUGUUGUUUCGUAUACUUGGGAUAUCUUUACUAAUUUUGUUGUCAGUAUUCUUUAUGCAGUAUUUCUACCAUAGCUUUUACUCUUUUAUUUGUCAAAAACCUGCUUAUGAUAACAGUUUCUUGAACUGAAGAUCUAUUGAAGCCAUUCUCUCUACCUCACACAAGGUAGAGGUAUGGUCUGUGCAUACUCCAUGCUCCCCAGAACCCACUUAAGGGAUCUCACUGGCUAUGUUAUUGUAGUAGUAAUUUGGUUGUUGCAAUGUAAGUUGCUCGGACUCUUCAAAAUGUUGCAGCACCUGUGUUCGAGCCUAUAAAAUUGCACUACUUUUGAAGGAUCCGACGACAUUUUUGAAGAUUUCGUGCUUCCUAUUAUCAUCUCUUCCCUGCCUUUUCCUUUAUUAGUUUUAUUACUACUUGUGUAACUCCAUAAUUUUACUAGUACUAGUACUAGUACUAAAUUAGAUUUCCCUUAAUUCCCUUCAACUAUCUGUGCUGAUGAUAAUAAUGCUUGAAAUUCCUAUAGACAAGGAUAGCUUAUGACUAUGGAGAUAUCAUUACUUACUAUAUUUAAUUUCUUAUGUAUAGCUAGUAGGUAGGCUAUAUUUUUCCUUUAAUUUUUGGGGAAGAGCACACUAGUUUACAGUUUUGCUCUUUUCUUUUACUUUUUUGGAAGGUGGGAACUAGGGUUCUAUUGCUCUAUUUGAUUGUGCACAAAUUAAAGUGAGGUGUACAACUGAUUUCUAACUUCGUAACUACAAAUAGUUGGUGCUAAUAUACGAGUUUUGUAUACUAUAUACUACUAUAUGAUUUAUUUAUGUAUUGUCACUAUUGCCAUGCCCCUGACCCAUUACCUGCUUCUCCAAUUCCUCUCACAAACUUAAUUUCUCAGUAUUCCUCCUCCUCUUCCUCUUUCUCUUAAACAUACAUGUCAAAUGGGCCGGUCAACCUACUACAAAAGCCUAGUGGGUGAGCCUGGACCAGCCCAACCCCUAUAUAUGUAGGAGGGGGCGACAAAGUUCUGGCUUGUCCAUCCUUUAACAGGAAUAAAGGAAAGAGCAACGUAAAGCUUACCUUUUCUUCAUACUGCAUUUAUAAAUGCCAUUGUUGUGCUUUACUCGGUAACAACUAAUUACUGCUAUAAUGAUUUGAAUUUGAAGCAUGGAGAUACAACUCUCAGUGCUGCUUACUGAAUUAGAUAUCUGUAGGUUUUGUACAUUUUUUAUUUAACAUGUAAUGAAAGAAAAACUAUGAUUGGAGAUUUUGAGGGUUCAAUAUAUGGGCUGACCUUGGCUCACUGUGAUCCUUGCAACUUUGCCCCCUGUUCUAAAAUUAAACCUCCUAGAACUUCCUGCCCCCUGUCACCAGACAUAUCUCCCUACAGUACCAAAUUUUGUUUAGCUAUGAAAAUAUAAUAACUUUUUAAAGUUAGAAUUACGAUCGGAGAGUAAUUAAGUUGAAUUUGGUGUUAUGUUUGAUCGGAGAGUAAGUUGAAUUUGGUGUUAUGUUUGAUCAUAAAUAAGAGAAGUAGUUUUACUACUUUAUUCACUGUCUCAUUUUAAUAACUAUAUAUAGUUAUAUGUAUUAUGAUAUUAUCUAUCUAUAACAUUUAAUUGUGGUAUUUGUUUUUUGUGUUUAUUUAGUCGUGUUUUUUUUCCUUAUAAAUCAUACAUUGCAAAAUACAAUAAGUUUUUGCUUUUAAUGAUCUCGUUACAUUUACUUAUACAAAUUCUUGAUUUGUUAUAAAGUUUUCUUUCUUAAUUUAGAGUUUAACAAUUUUAAUUAUGUGAUUUUGUGUAGAUGGAUCGUAGUUGGAUGUAUAAUAUGACUAAUGUUGGUCGUAUGGGGUUGAUGCCUGAAUUUCUAGCCGGUGUCGGUGGUUUUGUGGAGCAUACAAUGACACUGGAACCUUUUCAACUCGAUGGCUUGGUUAAGUGUCCUUGUAGUAAAUGUAAAUGCAGGAAUUAUGAAAAACUUGAUAUUGUUAAGCUUCAUCUUUAUUGAAAUGGGUUUAAAGAAGAUUAUACAAUGUGGACUAGUCAUGGAGAAGUUGAUAAUAGUUUUGUCAGAUCUCAAAACUAUGUAGCUGGUGGAAGUUGUGGGGUAGUGGAACCUAAUGUCCAAAAUUAUAGAGUGCACUACAUGAUUCGAGAUGCGUAUGGGAUGCAUUCUAAUUUUGAAUCUGGUGAUCAUGUUGAAGAAGCUCCCAAUGAUAAAUCUAAACAUUUAUUUGAAUAGUUGGAAGCUUUUAGUCGGCCUCUGUACGAGGGGAGUCCACACUCUCAAUUGUCUAUUAUUGUUAGGCUAUUAAGUAUCAAAUCAGACUGGAAUAUUCCUCAGGGGGCAAUGGACACUGUGAUUGACCUUAUGCAUGAAUUAGUUGACCUGAAUCUAGAGAUACCUGAUAAUUUCUACAAGGCAAAGAGGUUGGUGUCAAAGUUAGGAUUGUCGUCGAUGAGAAUCAAUUGUUAUGAAAACGGCUGCAUGUACUACAAGGAUGAAAUUGAUCUAGAAUCUUGUAAGAUUUAUCAAAGGGCUCGUUUUAAAAAAGCUCCCAACAUGAAGAAAGUUGUUGUGAAGGCAAUGCAUUACUUACCUUUUAUACCAAGGCUAAAAAGGUUAUAUGCAUCAAAUAGGUCAGCUCCUCACAUGAGAUGACAUCAUAAAAAUAGAAGACCGCCUGGUGUUAUGUGUCAUCCAUCUGAUAGAGAGGCCUGGAAGCAUUUUGAUAGAAAAUAUCCAGAGUUUUCAGCUGAACCACAGAACAUUAGGUUGGGUUUAUGUUCAGAUGGAUUCACUCCAUACUCUAUUUCUGUUGCACCAUAUUCUUGUUAACCUGUAUAUUUGACACCAUAUAAUCUUCCACCUGAGGUGUGCAUGACCAGUCCUUAUAUAUUUCUCAAUUGUAUUAUUCCUGGCCCACGUAAUUCAAAAAUCAUGAUGGAUGUAUACUUGCAACCUUUGAUUGAUGAGUUGAAUCAAUUGUGGAUUCAAGGGGUUGAAAUAUUUGAUGUGUCGCUUAGGCAAAAUUUUAAUUUGUGGGCUAUCUUAAUGUGGACUAUUAGUGAUUUUCCUGCUUAUGGAAUGUUGUCCGGGUAGAUGACAGCUGGAAAGUUAGCCUGUCCUUACUGUAUAGAAAAUACUAAAUCAUUCACUUUUAAAUAUGGCCGAAAAAAUUGUUGGUUUGAUUGUCACCGUCGGUUUUUUUCCAUGGAUCAUGAGUUUAGGAAUAUGAAAAAUGUAUUUAGAAAGAAUACGGUUGAUCGAGACUGUCCACCUCCAAUCUAUACGGGAGAACAAGUUUGGAAGAGGGUUCAACACGAUCCAAAGGUUACAAAAGAACAACCGUUCAAAUUUGAUGGGUAUGGUGUUGUACAUAAUUAGACAAAACAGAGUAUAUUUUGGGAAUUAUCAUAUUGAAAGGAUCAUCUUCUUCGACAUAAUCUUGAUCCCAUGCAUACUAAAAAAAAUUAAAUUGAUAAUUUAUUUAAUACAGUAAUGGAUGUCAAUGGUAAGAAUAAAGACAAUGUUAAAGCUAGAAUGGACUUACCAGAAUAUUGUAGGCGAAAAGAGUUAUGGAUGCAGGAGAAAUCAAAUAAAAAGUUCUUCAACCUAAGGCUAGCUAUUAAUUUACAAUGGAGCAAAAACAUAAGAUAUGUGAAUGGGUUGAGCAGUUCAAAAUGUCUGCUGGUCAUGCUUCAAAUUUGGGGAAGUGUGUUGAUAUGGAGCACAGAAAGUUAUUUGGCAUGAAAAGUCAUGAUUGUCAUGUUUUCAUGGAAACAUUACUCCCCAUAGUAUUUAGUAGCUUGCCUGAAAUAAUCAGGAAACCUAUGACUAAAAUUAGUUUGUUUUUCAAAGACUUGUGUUCCAACACAUUGAUGGAAGAGAACUUAGUUCGGAUGAAACGAAAUAUUCUUGGAAUUAUGAAUAAGCUAGAGAAGAUUCUUCCACCUGGAUUUUGGGAUGUGAUGGAACAUCUUCCUAUGCAUCUUGUGCAUGAAGCUCGUCUUGGAGGUCCGGUUAAUAUCGAUGGAUGUAUCCAUUUGAGAGGUAACUAUUGUAAAUCUUAUUAUAUUCCUCUCCAUUGAUGUUUUUUUUUUAAAAAUUCAUAAUAUAAUAUUAUAUAGGACUAUUGGCAAGAAUAAAUGGAGUAUCAAGAAACAACAUAGAAUUGAAGGCUCAAUGUGUAAAGCCUAUCUUGCUAAGGAAACGACCGAUUUCUGUUCGUAUUACUUUGGAAGUGAUGUUCCAUGUUCACGAAAUAGGCCUAAUCAUCACGACGAUAGUGGUGAGGUUGCUAGAGAGUCGUUAUCAAUUCAAUCAACCUGGCGGAGGUUCAAAAAAGCAUACAAAGAGGCAUCUUAGUUCAUUGGAGUCUAAAUCUGCAUCAAUACAUGUCUUGUUGAACUGCCCUCAAGUUAAACCAUUUCUUGAGUAAGUUGUUAUUAUUUUGCAUUACAUAUGCAAUUACAAGACAAAGUGACGGACUUAAUUUUCAUCCUCUUUGACAGCUACUUUGUGCAGUUGUAUGGCAAUGAUAAAGUGUUUGACUAUUUUUCAACACGGUUUAAAGAUUAUGUGAGUGUUGCAAUAUUUUCAUAAUGAUAUAAUUAUUAGAAAGUCUACAUUUGAUUAAUGCUAAUUUUCUACUCUCAACUAUCUUUAGGUUUAUGAUACAAGAAAUGGUCAAUUUGACCAAUUUUUGAAGGAUUUAUCUUGGGGACCUAUUAAGGCCUAUUCUAUGGAAAAGUAUACAGUGAAUGAUUUUAAAUUCAACACCGAAGAAUGCUCCAAAUAUAAAAAAAAACUAAUAAUAGUAGAGUUUGGGUAAAAGGUGAUGAUGGAGAUCAAAAUGGUGUUGAUUAUUAUGGGGUACUUGAGGAGAUUUUAGAAAUGGAGUAUUCUGGUUGUCCAGAAAAAAGAAUUGUAUUGUUCAGAUGAAAAUGGCUCAACCCACGAGGGAAAUCAAAUAAUAUAAUAUCAUAGGCACGCAAGAGAGUAUAGGGCAUACGAUCCUUUCAUCAUUGCAUAUAAUGCUAAGCAAGUGUAUUAUACUCCUUAUCCCUUGUGUCCAGAUAAAUUGAAUUGGUGGGCGGUAAUCAAAAUCAAGCCUGUGGGUCGAGUGAAAGUUGAAAAUGUAUUAGAUAUUUCAUACCAGGCUGAUGACAUAUCAUGUGUUCACCAACCAGUUGAUGUUGACUUAGAAGAUAAUUUAGAGCAUCCUGAACACAUAGUGGAAAAGGUUGAUAUAAUGAAGUAGAAUUGGCAGCAAAUAAAGAGGUGGAUGAAUCAAAUGAUGAAAAUGUAAUAGUAGAUGAGGAAAAUUGGUUAGAAGAGGAAAGAGGGCCAGAAGAGGAAGAAUAGUCACAAGAGAAAGAAUGGUCAGAAGAAGAAGGAGGGUCAGAAGAGGAGGAUGACGACGAGGAGGAAUGAUAAUUUGAAAUAACACAUCUGCAUUUUUUUGUUUCUUUGUUUGGUUUAGUUUAUUCUUUUUUCCCUAAUUUGAUCAAUGUAGUUUUUGUUAACUUUAUUUCUAUUUUUAACUAAGAAUUGUUGGUUUGAUUUAAUGUUAUUCUUAUUUAAAAGUUUUGUUUGGUGUCUUGAAGUGCUUGCUGCUUUAAUCUCUGAUUGGUAUGUUUCUCAAAAUAUAUUAGUGUCUCUAUGUCUAACUGCGCAUUGGUAGUUGUUCAGGUUUGUUAAUUUCUUUCAUUGAUGUUACAUGUGUUUAACCAUACGUAUGUCAUAGGUUUUGUUUUCCUCACAUACAGUUAUAUGAUCAAAAUAUGUACAUUUAUGGUGUCUCUAAACUAUAAUUUAAGAUAUUAUAUGAAAAUUUGUGUAGAUGGCAGGCGGAAAUAAGGAUAAGGGUACUGCUAAUGCUCUCAAAAAGAAAUUAAAGAAGGCUAGUAUGAUUAACAGGCGAUCGACAAGUAUACAUAUAAGAUUAGACACCACACCAUCUCAUCCAUCACGAGGUGCACCACUAGCAUAUACUCAACAACCCCCAUAUAUGCAUACGAUGAGGCCCACUUUAGGUCAUGCUACGUCACAUGCAUACAGUCAAUUUCCUCGCAUGAUGCAUCAACAAAUAUCUAGUUCCUCUCAUACAGUUACUCUUAACCCCGGUAACUUACAACCUUCAUCAGUAUCUACUCCACAGAUUGGGAUAUCAAGUCUUCCACUUUGAGGCAAUAUCUCUGAACCUGAAAAUCCUACCAUAAACCAGUCUAUUACGCAUGCCAGGUUCAUCCACAAGAUGGCAUGAGGGACAUGCGUAAUAGACUUAUCAUAGGCCUGAUGGCUAUGGGUAUGGUUUUUACAAAAUGUAUUUAGUUUAUGAAUAUCUCAUAAUUGUUUUAGCUUUAACCUAUAAAUAUUUAAAUUUUGAAAUACAGUUUUAAUCCAGAUUCAGCUGUAAGGAUCCUUUCUCAAAUCAUUCAAUAUCUUUAUAGAGGUGCUGUCACGAGUUGGGGAAAGAUGCCAGACAAUCUCAGGAACCAGAUUCUUUUGGAAUUUAGGCUUCUUCUCGUGAGAAUGGGACUUAGACCGGUGACGUCUGAAGAGGAGGAGGAGUACUGGAAUAUUUGCUGGAAGCAUUGAAUUUGAAGGACUGAGCUGACCGUAGGCAGUGAUAGGUUACAGUACAGAAAAACACAGCAGUAGGCCUUGCAAUGAAAAGGAAUUUGGGAGGCCAAUAACUCAAGCUGAGGCAUUCAAGGCUACACACACAAAGAAGAAGAAAACUCCUGAAGAUCCUGAUGUAUGGGUUGAGCCACGAGCUCAGCUGACCUAUAAUCGAUAUCUACAAUACAUAGAGGAUUUUCGCCAAACUCUACCAGAAGAUAAGUGAGACCUACCACUUAGCCAAGAGCAGAAUGAGAGAAUAUGGUUAGAUGCAGUUAGUGGCCCGAGUAGAUAUGGAUAUGCUUAUGGAUUGCCCCAACGAACAUUCUGUGAAUUUCAUUCGGAACUAGAAGGCCUUGGUAGUUUCCAGGAUGAUGAGUCAAGGGAGACGAUUUUAGAUUUGAAGAGCAAAUAACUAAGCUAUCUAGCGAAGCUAAGGCCUCGCAGGCUAGGGAAAGACAAAAGGAUAUACAGUAUGCAGGAAUGAAGGCCCAAUUUUAUGCAUUACUUGCUUCGGGCGGGAUUCCCCCUUGUCCCGGUGAUGUAGUGUGCCCUCCUCGACCCCCAUAGUCUCUACCUAUUUCACAUGGAGUAUAUGGUCAAUACAGAGAUGUGACUGAGGAGCCCAGUAGUGAUGAAGAUGAUUACUAUGUGGACUAUGCACCGCCGCGUUGUUAAAGUUGAAUGUUGUCUAGAUAAUCUAAACUAUAUAUUUUAUGGUGGUUUAUUUGAAUUCUUAGGUGAUUUUGAAUGCAUUAAAACUUUAAAGUAGA